AAUCCAGGGAAGUUAGGUGUCCUUCGUUCUGAUUCUCACUAAGUUAUUUGUCACGAGAGACAAUUCUGCACCGAUAUUUCUUCCCGCAGACCACGCCAGCAAUGCAGUAUCGUGGUGCCGACGAUGCCAGGUUCUGCUCAGAUCUGCCCUGUUGAAAGCUGGCACUUAUUUCUGCGGGGCUCGAUUUUUCACACUUGUUGUGGCUUUGAAAUUUGGUGCAGUCGUAAUUUGUAAUGAUGCUUAAUGCAGAAUGUGAUUUGGGUCACAGUGAAAGCUUCAGUCUGAGCAUGAGGGUUGUGCGUCUUCUCACCUAUCUUCACGUGGGACUGGAACUCAAAGGCACGAUAACGAAUGCUAACAGUGAGCAGUCACUAAAUUUCAAGAGAGCUGCCUCCCUAAACGGCAAAACAAAGAGUCCACAAGGAUGAAGAUCUAAAAAGAGCUGUAGUCGAGGUCUUGUGAGAGUGAAGGGAAGCAGUAAUCAGGCAUCUUAAGUAAUUGGAUCAUAGAGACUUCAACUAGACAGAAAAUCGAACGGUUAAUUUUAGCUCCAUUGGUUCGGCUGUGCCUUUGCAUGAAUACUUGUGCCUGUACAGACGAUGGUAGAAACAAGCAGCUGAUGAUGGAGAAAAUGGGUUAAGAAUUCACCGAAUCUGGAGUCGGGAAGGAAUUUCCCUCAUGAGCAUAAUGUCAGCAACAUAAUCAGGGCUUGGGAACAAUCUGUUAGCACACAGAGAAAGGAUUAUGGUAGGACCAGGUGGGUGUAUUCCACACAGUCAAUCUCUUUCUAUUCAAUGGGCACAUAUUUUAUGAUUGUAUUCUUACUGAUUUUUGUUGUGAUUUUUUUUUUACUCUGAAAAGCCACUCAGAUAAUGCUCAGGCAGGACUGCAGAAAUCCACUGAGACUCUGUAUGUAUAUAUUGAGAGGAUUACCAUGUGCAAUUAAGUAAAUGGGAGAGUAAACUAAGUAGAAGCUAAAUGUAUUUCAGAAAAAAAGAAAGAAGAAAUAAAGAAAAGAAACAGUAUUCCUCAGACUCUUGAGAAUGUACCACCCUGACAACCCAAGCUGUGAGCAGAAAAUUGCAGAAAGAAUUCAAGAUGUGUUGUUACAAGUGGAUCUACACUGAAUUAUCUUUAUUUGAAUCCAUUAAUUCUGUGAUUUUCUCCAUCCUUAUCUCAAUAUGCCUCUUAUUGUAUGUAACUUACCUUUGUCAAAAAUUAGUGAUGAAUCAAGAGAGAAUAUAGACUAAAAAGUAAAACAGUGCAUUUAUAAAAUCAAUAAACAACGUAAAGAAUG
ensembl:lncRNA